rnacentral:rRNA from 1 species
CUGCUCAAUGCGUUGUAAAUAGCCGCAGUAUUCUGACUGUGCUAAGGUAGCAUAAUCAUUAGUCUCUUGAUUAGAGGCUGGUAUGAAUGGUGAGACGAGAAAAAAUCUGUCUCUAAAGUAACUAUCGAAUUUUAUUUUUAAGUGAAAAAGCUUAAAUGUGUUUGGGGGACGAUCAGACCCUUUGGAGCUUUAUUUAGUUAAAGUUUUAGGUCAGUUUAAUGACAAGAGUUUUAACUAAAUUUUGUUGGGGCGACAGGAAGUUUAAGAGUACCACUUUUUUAAAAAAACAUGGGUGCAUGGAAAAUUGAUCCCCGGUGAGGGAUUAUAAGACUAAGUUACCCUAGGGAUAACAGCGUAAUCUUUUUGGAGAGUUCAUAUCGAUAAAAAGGUUUGCGACCUCGAUGUUGGAUUAAGAAAUUAGCAAGGUGCAGAAGUUUUGCUGGAAAGNCUGUUCGACUUU